AUUGAACGCUGGCGGCAUGCCUUACACAUGCAAGUCGAACGGCAGCACGGGAGCAAUCCUGGUGGCGAGUGGCGAACGGGUGAGUAAUAUAUCGGAACGUGCCCGGUCGUGGGGGAUAACGUAGCGAAAGCUACGCUAAUACCGCAUACGAUCUACGGAUGAAAGCGGGGGAUCGCAAGACCUCGCGCGAUUGGAGCGGCCGAUAUCAGAUUAGGUAGUUGGUGAGGUAAAGGCUCACCAAGCCGACGAUCUGUAGCUGGUCUGAGAGGACGACCAGCCACACUGGGACUGAGACACGGCCCAGACUCCUACGGGAGGCAGCAGUGGGGAAUUCUGGACAAUGGGCGCAAGCCUGAUCCAGCAAUGCCGCGUGCAGGAUGAAGGCC
rnacentral:rRNA from 1 species